rnacentral:rRNA from 1 species
ACACGCAUGACACACUGCAUAUCAAUAAGCGGAGGAAAAGAAACUAACAAGGAUUCCCCUAGUAACGGCGAGUGAAGCGGGAAGAGCUCAAAUUUGAAAUCUUCAAGGUUUGACCUUGACGAAUUGUAGUUUAAAGAAGUGUUUUCGGUUAGAGGAGUAGUAAAAGUUCUUUGGAAUUAGGACAUCAUAGAGGGUGAGAAUCCCGUAUUUGACUAUUCUUUCUAGCUUUGUGAUACACUUUCAAAGAGUCGGAUUGUUUGGGAAUGCAGUCCAAAAUGGGUGGUAAAUUUCAUCUAAAGCUAAAUAUUGGCGAGAGACCGAUAGCGAACAAGUACCGUGAGGGAAAGAUGAAAAGAACUUUGAAAAGAGAGUUAAACAGUACGUGAAAUUGUCAAAAGGGAAGCGUUUGACACCAGUGUUGUUUUUCCGAAAAUCAAUUAAAAAUUGAUUCAUGCCAGGUUGUAUUGACCUUAUCAGCUUGCAAUUUGGUUUUGGGUCUCUUUUUGAUGCACUUUUCGGUUAACAAGUCAACAUCAAUUUCCUUUGCUGUAAAAAGGUAAGAGGAAGGUGGCUUCAAUUUCGGUUGAAGUGUUUAUAGCCUUUUAUCUCUGCAGUCGGGGAGAUUGAGGUCUGCAGCGUAGAUCCUUCGGGGCUAGGAUACAUUUAUGCUAAGUUAUAGCCUUUUCAUAGACAACUUGUUGACUAUGAUUUAGUCAUGUAGCUUACUCGCUAGUGCUAUUUUACCUACGCUUAGGAUGUUGAGCGCAUGUCUCUCUCU